rnacentral:rRNA from 1 species
CCUACGGGUGGCAGCAGUGGGGAAUAUUGGUCAAUGGGCGCAAGCCUGACCCAGCAACGCCGCGUGAAGGAAGAAGGCUCUCGGGUUGUUAACCUCUUUUUAUAGGGAAGAGCAGAAGACGGUACCUGUCGAAUAAGCUACGGCUAACUACGUGGCAGCAGCCGCGGUAAUACGGAGGUGGCAAGCGUUGUCCGGAUUUACUGGGUGUAAAGGGCGUGUAGCCGGGCUGAGAAGGCAGUUGUGAAAUCUGGGGGCUCAACCCCCGAACUGCAUUUGAAACUGUUGGUCUUGAGUAUCGGAGAGGCAGGCGGAAUUCGUGGUGUAGCGGUGAAAUGCGUAGAUAUUAGGAAGAAUACCGGUGGCGAAGGCAGCCUACUGGACGGCAACUGACGGUGAGGCGCGAAAGCGUGGGGAGCAAACAGGAUUAGAUACCCUUGUAGUC